rnacentral:lncRNA from 1 species
GCAGUACUUAGUUUUCAACAACAUAAUCAAUAUUAACUACUGACGUUACGCAUGAUAUUGGUGUCACUUUUGGUAACGUCGUAUGAUAACGUCAAAGUCGUGUACUUUAUUGACGUGAUGUUUUAUUGCCUUCUAAUAAGCGAGAACUACGAUCAAUAUGAAUCCUGCUUAAAAAUAUUAUAGGUUCUCAAUUUGUUACGCCCAUUUCCCCGUCUUGAAAAAAAUGAAGAUUUUCAUAGCUAGUAAUACAAUAAUCAACAACCGAUUGACCCUUUGAUGAAACACAUAUGAGGUCAUUGUUUUUACCUGAGACAUAUUGUAUUAUAUGUCUCUGUUUUUACCAACUCUACCUUUUAACAUACAACAAUUGCUACUUGUUAAAAAAUUAUACUUCUUAUGUCGCUCGUCUAUACAGGGAGAUAAUUUUAGGCGAAAAAGAGGUUUAUUGAGUAGCAGAACAAAUCAAUAAUACUAUAUCAGUUACACUACUCAUACUUAUGAUAUCUUUGAGGGCCCUCAUGGGGUUUUUGAUUAUGUGAUUACUUGGCUGUUUUUUUAAUGAUUAUUUGAUUAUUAAGCCAAAUAUUUCAUGAUUAUUUGAUUACCUAGGACUGUAUUUUUAGUUUAUGAUUAUUUGAUUACUAAAGAUAAGCAAAUAUUUAAUGAUUAUGUGAUUAUAUUGGCAAAAAAAUGGUGAUUAUGUGAUUACUAGGACCCCCAUGAGGGGCCUCAUCUUUGGUUACCAAGUACAAUGUAUAAGUAAGAUGUUUCAUGAACAGUUCUAAGGUUACACACUCACAUUACAUUGUAUAAAAGAGCGUUUUCUUGUAUCGUAUAAUUAUUUUCUUUUGAACAAACCAUCCAUCUUUUUUUUUAUUUAUUUAUCCAAAGCUGGUACAGUAACUUAAAAUAUCAAAAAUAGAAAAGGGGCGAAAAGAGGUGUACCUGUAAACACUGAUUGAAACACGACUCUGAUAACAAUCAUUCUUAGUUAUACAUAAAUAGCACGAAAUAUAUCAAAUCAUUUUUAAUUACUAAAAAAAUAAUGGAAAGAAGAAGCCUUUUUUUUUUUUUUUUUUUUUAUAUAAAACAUAUUAGACAUCACAUGGGAUAACAGUAUCCUGAAAUUUUAAGGUCGUGCAUCUAUAAAAAAAAUUGUUAAACCUAUUUAAACCGGAAUUAAAUAAGUUGAUUUAAAUCUCUUAUAUAAGGUUAGCGUUUGAAAUAAAUAAUUCAGAGCUAUUUGGUGUUCCCAGUGCCAAACAUUUAGAAGUAACAGUGAAAACUGACCAAUUCGCAGUAAACCAAAUAGUAUUAUUCGCCUUUUUGACGUUCCCGAUGAAGGUAGAUCCAGAAAAAGCGCUUCGGUCGCCAUGCGCGUAGCUACGUUUACGUCAAAACGCCCGGGCGUACACUUGAAUUUUGAAAAUGAAAAAAAAAAUAAAUAGAAUAAGAAAAUCUGGUUAAAAGCACAUCAGCCGUGUGAUUUCUUUCUGCAGUGGAUUGUAAUUGUGAAUAAAAAGGGACUGGAUUUACUUUAAUCAACUAGAUCCUAUUAUAUAUUUCUUCCAAUUUUCUGUCAAAGUCUGAAUCUACUUUGAAUUCUGCGUACUUUUCAUAUAUUUAAUGCAAUUCAUUAUCUGCUGAGAUUCGAUAUGCGGUUUGCAUUUUUU